GACAGAGGGUGCAAACGUUGCUCGGAAUUACUGGGCGUAAAGCGCGUGUAGGCGGACCACCAAGUCGGACGUGAAAGCCCUGAGCUCAACUCAGGAACUGCAUCCGAUACUGGCAGGCUUGAAUCCGGGAGAGGGAUGCGGAAUUCCAGGUGUAGCGGUGAAAUGCGUAGAUAUCUGGAGGAACACCGGUGGCGAAGGCGGCAUCCUGGACCGGUAUUGACGCUGAGGCGCGAAAGCCAGGGGAGCAAAGCGGGAU
rnacentral:rRNA from 1 species